CUCUGAACUCCAUGUGCUUCAGUUAACCCUUUCCCAAUGCGGUUCUCCGAUCAUUUUGUUUUAAAAACUAAUGUUUUCAUGAUGGAGACUGCUAGGUCACAUUCCCCAGGUAAAGAUAUUCAAAUUAUAGAAACCAGCCAAAGGUUUCCAUGAGGAAGGAUAUACUGAUUUUGGACUUAGACUUUUUCAAAUCCUUUUUUUUAACUUGAUAUAACAAGAGAGGAGAUCACACUUCUGAGAGGCAGGCUCACAUAUUUCAGAGUCUCCCUAUGGACAGAGUGUCACUGCUCUUGACCUCUUAACACCUGUACACUUCCAUGAUGACAGUGCAAGGGGCUAUUAAUUGGGCCAGGCGCAGUGGCUCACGCCUGUAAUUCCAGCAUGUUGGGAGGCCGAGGUGGUCGAAUCACAAGUUCCGGAGAUCAAAAGCAUCCUGGCUAACACAGUGAGACCUCGUUUCCACUAAAAAUACCAAAAAUUAGCCAGGUGUGGUGGCAAGCGCUUGCAGUCCCAGCUACUCGGGAGGCUGAGGCAGGAGAAUUGCUUGAACCCAGGAGACGGAGGUUGCAGUGAGCGGAGAUCGUGCCACUACACUCCAGCCUGGGUGACAGAGUGAGACUCCGUCAAAAAAAAAAAAAAAAAAAAAAAAAAGCUUCCUUCUUACGAGAACAUGAGGAUCCUUGGACUGAAAAGGUCCAGAGAAUGAAGGGAAAAUCUAUACAAAAACACAUUAUAGUGAAACUGAAGAAUAUAAUGAACAAAAAUACUCUGUAAGCCUUCGGUAAUGAGGAAUAGAUCACCUACAAAGAUUCAAGAAUCAAAUUGAAAGUGAAUCUCUAUAUCAAAACUGCCUGAAGCAGGACAAUGGAGUUAUUUUUAUAUAAUGUUGGUCCAAAGUUCCAUAUCAAUUGCAAAACCAAAAAAAAUUUUCAAUGGAAAGUUUUGACUUAUUUUGUGAGUGUGCUAGAAACAAUAAGUUCGUCUUCAAACUUUCCUGUUCUUUCCUGUUCUGUAAACAACCCUUCCUUCCUUUGCCGCCCCAGACAUGCCUUCCCGCCUAAUUGGUACAGGACAGUGUCUUCCUUCCCGCCUAAUUACCCCUAUAGAAUUUAAAGCAGUAGCCAAUCCGGUCAGCUUAGAAUGUGCAUUGUGACUGACGCAGGCAGCACCCUUCUGUAGAAGCAAAUAUGCUUUGCUGAGAAAUUUCCUGUUUAAGUGCUGGUUUUUCUUUGUGGCACUGAGCACUUGUUUCCAACAAGUGUGACAGCACAAUUUAUUUGCAAAAUAAAACCAGAUUUGGGAUGACAGUAGGCUAUGUAUAAUCUUUAUUUCACUGAAAUGUGAACACUCACAUGUUUUGUUUUGCAAUAUUAGUGCUUUUGAUUUUGGAGUAAUUAUUUAUAUCCCAAUGGAGUUUCUAGUAAGACACUAUUUAGAAUAUAUACACUAAAUAGCCUUUCUGAAGCCUCCAGAUUCUUAACUUCAAAAUGUAUCUAGCUCCACAGCACAGAAGAGGUGCUUUCAUCUUGUCUUAAGGGAAAAUAUAAUUUUACAUUUUAGAGUUUUAAUUUAGGCAAAAUGAUAUUUAAAUAGAAGAGUCUCAAAAACUAUUUUGUGAUACUCAGGGCCUCAGUCUUUUUGCAAGACAAAGACUCAUACCACAAGAAAA
rnacentral:lncRNA from 1 species